UGGGGAAUAUUGCACAAUGGGCGCAAGCCUGAUGCAGCAACGCCGCGUGAACGAUGAAGGUCUUCGGAUCGUAAAGUUCUGUUGCAGGGGAAGAUAAUGACGGUACCCUGUGAGGAAGCCCCGGCUAACUACGUGCCAGCAGCCGCGGUAAUACGUAGGGGGCUAGCGUUAUCCGGAUUUACUGGGCGUAAAGGGUGCGUAGGUGGUCUUUCAAGUCGGUGGUUAAAGGCUACGGCUCAACCGUAGUUAGCCUCCUAAACUGGAAGACUUGAGUGCAGGAGAGGAAAGUGGAAUUCCCAGUGUAGCGGUGAAAUGCGUAGAUAUUGGGAGGAACACCAGUAGCGAAGGCGGCUUUCUGGACUGCAACUGACACUGAGGCACGAAAGCGUGGGUAGCAAACAGG
rnacentral:rRNA from 1 species